GACGAACGCUGGCGGCGUGCUUAACACAUGCAAGUCGAACGGAAAGGCCCUGCUUUUGUGGGGUGCUCGAGUGGCGAACGGGUGAGUAACACGUGAGUAACCUGCCCUUGACUUUGGGAUAACUUCAGGAAACUGGGGCUAAUACCGGAUAGGAGCUCCUGCUGCAUGGUGGGGGUUGGAAAGUUUCGGCGGUUGGGGAUGGACUCGCGGCUUAUCAGCUUGUUGGUGGGGUAGUGGCUUACCAAGGCUUUGACGGGUAGCCGGCCUGAGAGGGUGACCGGCCACAUUGGGACUGAGAUACGGCCCAGACUCCUACGGGAGGCAGCAGUGGGGAAUAUUGCACAAUGGGCGGAAGCCUGAUGCAGCAACGCCGCGUGCGGGAUGACGGCCUUCGGGUUGUAAACCGCUUUCGCCUGUGACGAAGCGUGAGUGACGGUAAUGGGUAAAGAAGCACCGGCUAACUACGUGCCAGCAGCCGCGGUGAUACGUAGGGUGCGAGCGUUGUCCGGAUUUAUUGGGCGUAAAGGGCUCGUAGGUGGUUGAUCGCGUCGGAAGUGUAAUCUUGGGGCUUAACCCUGAGCGUGCUUUCGAUACGGGUUGACUUGAGGAAGGUAGGGGAGAAUGGAAUUCCUGGUGGAGCGGUGGAAUGCGCAGAUAUCAGGAGGAACACCAGUGGCGAAGGCGGUUCUCUGGGCCUUUCCUGACGCUGAGGAGCGAAAGCGUGGGGAGCGAACAGGCUUAGAUACCUUGGUAGUCCACGCUGUAAACGGUGGGUACUAGGUGUGGGGUCCAUUCCACGGGUUCCGUGCCGUAGCUAACGAUUUAAGUACCCCGCCUGGGGAGUACGGCCGCAAGGCUAAAACUCAAAGGAAUUGACGGGGCCCCGCACAAGCGGCGGAGCAUGCGGAUUAAUUCGAUGCAACGCGUAGAACCUUACCUGGGUUUGACAUGGAUCGGGAGUGCUCAGAGAUGGGUGUGCCUCUUUUGGGGUCGGUUCACAGGUGGUGCAUGGCUGUCGUCAGCUCGUGUCGUGAGAUGUUGGGUUAAGUCCCGCAACGAGCGCAACCCUUGUUCACUGUUGCCAGCACGUUAUGGUGGGGACUCAGUGGAGACCGCCGGGGUCAACUCGGAGGAAGGUGGGGAUGACGUCAAGUCAUCAUGCCCCUUAUGUCCAGGGCUUCACGCAUGCUACAAUGGCUGGUACAGAGAGUGGCGAGCCUGUGAGGGUGAGCGAAUCUCGGAAAGCCGGUCUCAGUUCGGAUUGGGGUCUGCAACUCGACCUCAUGAAGUCGGAGUCGCUAGUAAUCGCAGAUCAGCAACGCUGCGGUGAAUACGUUCCCGGG
rnacentral:rRNA from 1 species